AUCGAGAUACGCAUUUAUGAUUUGUCUUCAAACGCACAUUCAGUAAUGAAAUUCGUUCCAAUCAUGAUGUCCGAAACGUUUUUUAAUCGACUGAAGAAUAAACCUUUAAAGGUGUGGGCAGCGUUGGCUUUUGGUGUUAUUCUUUUUGUGCUGCUUUCGGUGAGGGUUAAGGUACUAACCGAGACGACUACACAACCAGUAGAGGGGAAAACUCACAUAUGUACGAUAGACGGAGAUGUUGUGUGCACAGAAACAGUGACAUCUAUUUUGGAUAAAAGUUGCGCCGAAAGCUACAAUGAGGUCCUCACACGGAACGUCAGACAAGAUGGCAUGACGAGUGGCAUUUAAGUCAUAAUGGAAAAUAAGCCCGCUGUAAAAAGUGACAUGUUGUCUACCAUCCCAAGUACGAAACCGAUUGGAAAAGUCAUCGGGAAAGCUAUGAAAAUUCCGUCUGGCACUGAAGAACAUAUCGGGUCUGGAUAUUCGAUGGAACAUACGGCAGAAGUAAAGUGUUGGAACCAUGACAGUUCAUUAUCGUUCAUGUUAUACGGAGUCAGGUACCAAAACGGUCGACUCAUCGUACCUCUCAUCGGAACCUACAACAUAUACUCCUUUCUGAGUCUAACUGUCGGCAACGACGUUCCAGAUGGUUCCGACGACAGCUCAACUUCGAUGAUGGUUAAACAUGCAAUGUACAAAUACAAUGUCAAGAUUAAUCAUGACAUAGAACUUGCGUCUUCUAUUCAAAUACGAAAACAUCCCAACAUCAAUAACGCUUACGUUUUCAGUUCACAGAUUGAUACUUUGGUACAGUUAGAGGCAGGAGAUGAAAUUUCUGUCAAGAUCAGUGGAGUUUUAUUGUUCUGCAAAGAGAACAAUUUCUUCGGGCUGAGAUUGGUGUAACUACGCCGGGCUCCGCAAAUGUCCACUCGUGGAACUGCGUGCGCGUCGCGUGGAUGCAUCGACUGAAGGUUCCACAUUGACCAAAUUCAUCCAGUAGAACUGUUUAUAAACACAACACUUAUGCCUUUCCUGAAGUUGUUACUUCAAUCCUUACUAGUCCUUCAAUAGUUAGGUGUAAAACCGCUGUAUCCGCUUAUUGAAGGUAACAUAGUUACAACCCGAACAGUCAGUUAUCGUGAUUUCAAAAGACAAAACUAAUAACCUUAAAUCAAGAUAGGCUAAAAUCCAGGGACAGCUUCGCCGAAAGGUUUUUAAUUUGUAACUAUGAAAUAAGAUGCGAUUAAACACAAGCACGUCAAGUUGUGUUGCUUAUAUCAUGUGCUUUUUAUGUAUUUGAUCACAUGGUUUUGAAUGAUAUAAAGCGGAAAUUUAUCAUUUAAAUAAAGUAACAUCUUCACCAAAUUUUGUUCAAGUUGCAUAGUGAUUUUGGAAUAUUGUUUGGCUCUAUUGCUUGACAUAAAACUCCAAACACAG